rnacentral:misc_RNA from 1 species
GUUGGUGAACCAGCGGAGGGAUCAUUACCGAGUUUACAACUCCCACAUCCCCUGUGAACCACUACCAACUCGUUGCUUCGGCGGGUAUUUGCUUCGUCCCGGGGCGGAGGGUCCCGCGAGGGAGCCGACGCACCGGAACCGGGCGCCCGCCGGGGAGCUCUUUUUAACUCUUUUAUGUUGUAUGGCAUGUCUGAGUGGAAUCAUAUCAAAUGAAUCAAAACUUUCAACAACGGAUCUCUUGGUUCUG